rnacentral:rRNA from 1 species
GCUUAGCCCUAAACACAGACUAUUACAACACAAUAUCUUCCGCCAGAGAACUACAAGCGAAAAGCUAGAAACUCCAAGGACUUGGCGGUGCUUCAAACCAACCUAGAGGAGCCUGUCCUAUAAUCGAUACCCCACGUUUUACCUUACCCCCCUUAGCCAACCAGUCUAUAUACCGCCGUCGUCAGCCUACCUUAUGAAAGAGUCACAGUAGGCAAAACAGUUAUUAACUAACACGUCAGGUCAAGGUGUAGCCCAUGGGGGGGCAGAGAUGGGCUACAUUUUCCAAAAGAACACACGAACAACGCGUUGAAACACACGUUCAAAGGUGGAUUUAGUAGUAAAAUAAAUAAGAAAAACUAUCUUAAACCUGCUCUGAAGCGCGCACACACCGC